CUAUCCUAUAAGGGAAAAAAAGUCAGAAGGUACAAAAGUAAGGAAAAACAACAGUGAUACAAAUUGACAAAGAAUUGUCUGUCUGAAGUCACUUACUAAUUUUGAAAAGUGGGUUUUAUACAAUGUUAAGGAGUGUGAUUAUAUGAGUGUUAGGGUGGUGGCAAUGAUAACCCAUUUAAGAGAUAAAGUGUUGCUCUUUGAGACUUUCAGGGCUUUGGGGCUGCACUUUGCAAUAAAGUCUUUUGUGCAAAUAUGAAUGUGGGUAGACCACAACAAUCCUUUAAAAUUGAAUAUAUUUCCCAAUUGAUGUAUUUUAAAUCAUUCAAAUACCAUGUAAAUAACUAUUGAAAUGAUCUCCAUUCUAUUAAAUAGUGAAUCAUAAAUGCCGCAUCAUUUAUAGAAAUGCUGUGAAAAAAUUAAGGUGCCAUAUAACAAGUUAGAAUACACACACACACACACACACACACACACACAUACAACCAUAAUUUAGGCACAAAAUUGUGUCAUCUGUCCUCAUAGACUGAUAACAGCAGAAAUCAGUAUAUCGUUCAUAGUGGGAAAGUGAUUCCAACAGAAUAGAGCAAUUUUUAAUUAAUCUUUGUUGCUCAGCACAGUAGGAAAUUAAUCCAAGCUUUUACUUAAGCAAAUGACAGUUGGGGCUAAAGCAAUAGCACCAUGAUUGCUCAGAGCUGACAUAUCUUGCAAAUUGGCUGGAAAGCAUUAACUCGUCUAAAUUCCAGCAAUCGUCUAGCCACUACACAACAUACACAUAAUCAUGUAUGGAAAUGAAUAAUGACAGAAGAGGACACAGGUUUGCGGAGUGUGUGAAGAUGUAAAUUUAGAUAUAAGCAACUAAUUUACAGUCGAUACAUUACAGCACAUCCCACCUUAGACUGUAACCAAAUGAUAUGGGAGUCUGCUCAAUCCAUUAUCUAGAUAUUGAUUGGAAUUUCAAUGCACCAUCUUUAUCUUCUUAUGGUGCUUCAUCUUUAAAUCGGACUUGGAAAGGGCAUCUCUUGAAGCAGAGGAGUAUCUUCUGCCAGCCCUUCAAAUAAGGGACUUUGUUCUAUAAAGGCAGAUCUAUCCAAGCAAAAAUGCUUAACAUUUGCAGGUUGUUUCAACUACUAUGCAGUUAUUUCCCAAGUUCUGCAGGGUACAAUAAGGCUAAGACAAACUUUUAUGUACAGAUAUAGACAUAUGAGAUUGAACUGAAAUUCUUAAGCCUUCCCGUCAUCUCAGAUUGAUACCAUUCCAGUAGGUACAUUAUGCCAAGAUAUAUCAAGAGGAUGUCAUGUGGGAGGGGACACUGUUUGCAUGGAUAAUAUUUGUGAGUUUUUGACAUAGGAAGGAUAAUUGUAUCAUCAGUGAUGUCAUUAAAGCUUUUUGUUUUAUGUAACCCACACAUGGCUGGUCGAAUCAGUCGCAUACUAUUACUAGAUGAUGUGAGCUGAAGAAAUGUAUCUAAUUGAUCAGAAUCCUCACUUUCACUGAAAAAUAAAUGGGCUUGCUUCCAUUUCCAAUGUGUACUCUUUUGUAGAUACCAUAUUUAUUUCUGUAGUGAUCGUGCAGGAAAGCUUUUCACUGGAUUCCAGCCAUUGCGAUUACAUUCACGAUGUCUCAUACAAGUUUAGCUUUGAUUCUUCCCUGUGCUUGCAUGUAUUUUCUGAUUAAACUCUCGCCUUUGUUCUCCAGAAAGUUGAAUUAUUUAUUAUCCACACUGCUGUGCUUUGCUUUUUGUACGCUGAAAGCAUCACUAAAUUUAAUCAGAUCCCUAGAAGUCACCAUACACAUGUGACACGCCUGCACAUUAAUUUUGUUUUCUAUAGAUUGCUUGUGUCUUAUGGGCAGAAUGCAAGAUAUUCUUAACCUAGUGACAGACCAAUCUCCUGCAGCGCGCUGUGUUUCAUCCAAGGAAAGUAGGCCAUCUCUUCACAUUUAGUAUGCUGAAUACAUAUUUUAUCAGAGACGGAUGAGCAGGGUAAUGCAGGCACUAGGUCUUUCUGAAUAAGCAGUAUUUCUUCUGGCAAAGAUUGUCAGUGAGCAGCAUUCUUUGAUCAAGUAAAGGCCCAGUGUUGCUGGUAAUACUCUGUUGGGAAUUAUUAAUACAGUACAACCUCCAUAUUUGUGGGGAAUACAUUACAAUGCUCACAUACUGUAAUGACAAACCCUAUAUUUUGACUAUACUUGGGCUGGAAGUAUACCAUAGAAUCACACUGGGGAGCCCAAAACCACUUAUGGGGGCAGUGGUGGUAUUUUUGGAGCAUGGGUAAGCAAAACCAUGGAUAUCAAAUCUGAGGAUAAGGGGGCCAUACGGUAUUCAGUGUAAAAGUGCAAGGACAUCCUAUUUUACUCUGGUUAAUGAGAUUAUUACCAUGCCCUGUGUCCUGUACUCCAAACUGCUAAUACCAGAAUAUCAUUAUGGUCACACUUUGCUUCAAAAUGUGAACUAAAAGAAAAAGAAAACCCUGGCCUCCAUUUAUCACUUUGGUUAUUGUUCCUAUUAAGGGUGUUAAGAGGCAACUAAUUUACAUUUCAGGGUUUUGAGUACGCUCUUAAAAGGCUUUCUCCCUUUCAAUCGAUAAUAAAAUCCUCUGCGGGUUUCUAGAACACUGGAUCAAUUAUUUUAGGCUGAAAUUAUAAUUAGUUGACUCUAGAUGGAUCUUAUUACCGUCAAUUGGAACAUGUUGGUGAAAGCAGAUUAUUGAUUGUAGAACUGUACAGGAGCAGGAUAAUUUGUGACAAAUAUAUAUGUUGUUUGUGUUCAUCAGUUAUUCUGUAUCAUUUGCUGACUGUGUUACAGCUAAAAAGAUGUAAAAGAACUACAAGAAUCUCUUUUUACUCUCUAAGGCAUAAAUUAUACAUUACAGUUAAUUGACAAUAAAAGAGGAAUUAGCAGGUAUUCCCAUCUUGGAUAUUAUACCAUAAUGCAAAUGCCAGAGCACGUUGACCAUGAUCCAGGACCAUUCUUCUCCUCGGGUAGAAAGACAAUCCUAAUUAAAGUAUUACAGUACUUAUUAUACUAGCUCUCUAUUAUGGGAAAACAUUAGGGUAACACACAUUAAUUUUCCCCACUUUGGGAAAUUUCAAAGUAACUCAUAUGUAUACCAGAUCAAUAAUCUUAUAUUUACAAGGUUAAGAAAAAUGUUGCUUCUAUUGCAGAUAUUGUCUUUGUGCAGCCUGUCGAUGCUAUGCUGGAUUUACUAUUUCCUGCAUAGGAAAGCUGCAAGAAAGAAUGUGCUUAGUGCAAAUGAAUUUUUGCAAAGAAUCUCAUGUCUGUUCCGCAUUUUCACAGUGACUUGUCUCAAUGGUAAUGAUCCCCAUUUUUCAUCAAGGAUGAGAAACUGUAAGGAUUUCUAAUCUGUAUGUUGUAGGGCUGGCCCAUAUUGUUUGGACAAUCUCUUAUAUAACACAUUGUUUCUCACUCCUGGUUUAAGAGGUGUGUGCACUGUAUUUACAUAAGCACAAUAUUUGCCCAACUGUCUGAGAUAAAGUCUGAUAAUUUUUUAAAAAAUGACUCACUUGUAGCAAUGAUAUGACUCCUUGGCAACAUUAUCUUCCAAGACCCACCUGAAAAAAUGACGUGUUUAUUAAUCAGUUAGAUUAUUUUUCCUACUUUGUGAAGGUUAAAACAGUGCAGAAACUAGAAAAAAUGUGCACCAUAGUCAUAUUUUCCCGAAGACAGCAACAUUCCAUCAAGUUGUCUUGGUGAAGAAUGAGCUUGUGAUUUGCAACUUAACUAUACUAAACAAUAACCAAAACCAAAACCUUGUUUUUAGACCUAUCCAUGACUAUAGUGAUUUUAAAAGCACUGGAAAGUUUUAUAUCUCUAUGUAAACACUUUAAAUAAAUUUCAUGCUCUCAAACAGUACCUUUAUAUUCUCCAACCUUUCACAGAUGAAAAUAUGAGGCCAAGCAAUGUUAGAGGAUGGUAACGAUGGAUAAAGUUAUGAAGGAGGAAAAACGCACAAACCAGGCAAGGCUGCAGCAGUUUGCUUUUACCUGAGCCUACAGAGAAGUGCAAGAGUGGGUUAAUACUGUCUUUUAUUAUGAUAAAUAUAAUUUGUUUUUGUUUAUUCGUUCAGUCGCUUCUGACUCUUUGUGACCUCAUGGACCAGCCCACGCCACAGCCCUGUCGCCGUCGCCACCCCCAGUUCCUUCAAGGUCAAGCCAGUCACUUCAAGGAUACCAUCCAUCAGUUUUUCCUUCCAUUUCCCCCAGCAUCAUUAUUUUCUAUAAGCUUUCCUGUCCUGUCAUUUGUAUGUUUCUAAUUCAAAACAAAUAUAUUUACUCAUUGAUUUAUAUUGAAUUUGCUUGAUUUCUCUGCCAAAUUUAACUUAACUUGUUUAUUUUUGGUGCAUAGCUCUCAAACAGAAAAAUGGCUACAAGAAUCAUGGGACUGGAUGAACAAACCACAGUGAACAGUUCUAAUUAUUUCUGAUGAAGGAUGUCUUGAUCACUUUCUGUGGUUUAAAGAUCACUUGUGUCGACUGAAUGGGUGGAGCUGCUCAGAUAAAACACAGGUGGAUCAAAGUUUAGUCUGCAUAUUCUCGCUUGGUGAAAGAGAAGAUGAUGUGUCACAUCGCCCAGAUACAUAUUUCUUUUUGAAGAAACACCAGACUCAACCAGAAAAUCCUUGUCCUCAUCCUCAGAGACUUCACAGGCCUCAACACUGUCUGACUCUACAGCAGCAAUUCUCAAACUUUGGAACUUCAGGCUUUUGGACUACACUUCUUAGUGGUUAGGAAUUCUAGCAGCUGAAGUCCUAAACCCUUGAAGGACAAUAGUUUAAGAACCACUGUUGUUCCAUUCUUGUCUACCGAAUAUGAGCAAUCUGUUGCGCCAAAAAAGCCAUAGAAAAUCACCCCAAUCUGUCUAUGACCACAUCCUUUGGCUCUGGGUCUUGCUCCUUGUCUUAGUUUGAUCCUGACACUCCACCACAUCUACUUUCGACUAUGUCACUUAUGUCUGGCAGUUUCAAUCUAUCAGUGUAAUGUUCAAGCUUUGUCGCAGGCUGCCCACUUUUCCCACAGCAAAAGCUAGAAUAAAUGUUGUUGGAAUAAUCCUCAUUGUUCCAAUUGCCUUGAUGACCAUGAUGUUUUCAACUGAAGUCACAAAGCUCAUUCUGCCAAAGACUGGAACAAAAUUUCAUUUUCUUCAUUAACUAUUUUAGUGGUCUCUAAUGGAUCAAAAGGAAGUUUCCCAAAACUGAAAAUAAAACACAAUUUCUCAAAACCCAGAUUGUUCUUUUAAAUCAUUCAAGCUGCUGACCUUAAAAUUUUGAAGUCAGUACAUAUGUCCUGCAAAUCAAUGUUUUCACUUCCUCUAAGAACUUCCCAAACUCAUAGAGUGUAGAGGCAAUUUGGAGACCAGAUUUUAAUUUAAAACCACAUUUUCAAACAUUUUCAGUUUCUGAAACUGAAUCAUUGAGGUAGUCGUUUUGAAUCAAUUGAUUGCCCUUGCUGUGAUUUGUUCCUAUGAUAAGUCUUGUACCUGGGCUUGGCUUGAUGCUAGCCAGAAUCAUAUCAUGUUUUGCCCAGUCAGAUUCAAAGGGCCAUUCAAACACCCUGCUUGAAUCCACAGUGUGUGAGUUACUUCUUAAAUCACAGUGAUCAGACCCUUUGACUAAUAGGCUUACAUCUGACAUUGGGACACCUUGUCCCUUGCCUUUGCUUUCUUUUUGUGGCAAAGUAUAAUUUUGCAUAAAUGCAGAUUAUCUCCUAAAACACAAAGAAUAAUAUGUUACAGAUGUCCACCUGUUCCCACUUACUUGCAUGUGUGGUCCUGUAUCUUCCAUUGCAUUCAUUGAAGCCUCAACACACAUCUCAAUUUAGAGUAGCAUCAGAGUUUGCAAAUAUUUUGACUAAGAGCAUUCCAGCUUUGAAGCAGAAGCAUACAAUAUGAUCAUCAACAUGUAACUGAUGGAAAUUGGAACCUCUAAAAGUUACUUUCCAGAACUACAAAUCACAUAGCAAAAUAACUGUGCUAACUGUGGGAAUUUUGUUAGCUACCAUAUAAAGAUUAUAGACAAGCCCUCCCUGUUCCCAUGAAGGAACUAUGUACAAGAGGAAAAACGUAGAAGAAAAGCACAUAUGGUUCUUAGAUUUUAGGCCUUAGCUCUGGGUCUCAGGUCAUGGCCAUUCCUUUACAGUCCUCAGCGUAAAAGUGAGAACUGUAAAAGAAUUGCCAUGAUCUGAGACCCAGAUGGAGGUCUGUCCUGGCUCCAUCCUGGACACAUCCUUGCUUAGAACGGGGCCAGGCAGCGGAAAGCUGAGAGGUGACACUUCCCCCUGUGUAAUGGGAAAGCAGCGAUGUGGGCAAUGCAGGGUGACGGUUUCCCACGCUGCCCCAUGGAUUCAUCAUGCUGCCCGUCAAAUCCCCCUGUUGUUGUCUGAGUUUUGGACCUCAAUGUGACGAUGUCCUAAGUGAAACUGUAUACUGGAGCUGCAGAUAUGCAUUUUACAGUACUUCUUCAUUACUUGUUACCAGGACCUCUUGUUAUGAACUGCCUUCAAGAUAACUUUGACUUAUGACUAAUAUUGGAAAAAGGUUUAUUUUUAAAAUGUCCUUGUUCUAAUAUUUCUGCCCCUAUAUAAUGUUAGCUUUUUUUUUGCAUCCAGCUAAUGUGUCUUACACCAGGGGAAAGACUUGCAACUUUCAUUUCAUUAUUUUUCUUUGGUGGGCUGUACAUGGAUAAUAAUAGCUUUAAGCAUCUGGUUCACAUGAAAAUAGACAAAAUGGGACCCACAAAUGAGGGAAGGGAGAUUAUUAUAUAGGAACGUACACCAUUGUCAUAGUUUUCUAAUAUAAUUGUAUUGUUGUAAGUAAUUUUACAUCUGUUUCUGAUUAUAUAGUGAUGAUGCCAAGAAGAAUAAGGAGGAUGGGGAGGAGAGGAAACUCUUUUUAAAGAAUGUUGGUGAUUAUGUCAAAAAAAGAGGGAGGGAAAUUGUAUAUUAUAGUUCUAAGCAUGCAAUAAAGACACAGGUAUCAAGA